ensembl:lncRNA
GUGAGCGGCCGCCUCUGCUGCUGCUGCGAGGAUCCCCCUCGCCCGCUCGGGCUCGGGCCGCCGCGUCGCGCCCUCCACCCGCCCCUGUCACCCGGCGGCGGCCGGGAGCUGACAGCCGCCCGAGGGGCUAGCGGCCCGGGGGCGGGCGGCCGGCCGGAGGCGGGCUGGAGGUGAGGGGGUGGAGAGGAGGCGAGCGGGGCGCCGCUGAGCGCUGUCUCUGCCCGCCCGAGGAGGGUCUCCGCAGAAACAUCUCCGGUGACUGUGGCACAAGUCUUGGCCAAGUUGUGUCUUGGACGUUGAGGUUCCCGGGAGCCCGGAGCAACUUGGAGGGUCUCCUGGCUCCUUAACCAUAUUCCUACACGUCUCGACUUUUGGGGGUGCUGGGUGCAGCCUCGGGGUGCGUGGAGGGCGGACCGACCGUUCGGGCGAGCAGAGCGGCGGGAAUCUAGGUCCCUCGGCUCGAUUGGCGAACUUACCUGAGAAACUGAGACUCAAGAUCGUGAGGAUGUGUGACUAGGACCGAAAGCAGAUUUCCAGGUGGAGUCUUUGGAUUUUUUAAAAGACAACAGUAAUUGGAUCUACUUGAAAAAUUAAGUGAAUUGAUUUGUUUGGAACACUCUUUGACCAAUUCUUUAACGUUUAGCCACUGGUAUUUAGAUAUAUUUAUCCAAUACUUUGGCCACCUGAUGUGAAGAACUGACUCAUUGGAAAAGACCCUGAUGCUGGGAAAGAUCGAAG